AGGACGAACGCUGGCGGCGCGCCUAAAACAUGCAAGUCGAACGAGAAACCCGGGCUUGCCCGGGUGGACAGUGGCGAACGGGUGAGUAACACGUGAGGAACCUGCCCCGAAGACCGGGACAACACCGGGAAACCGGUGCUAAUACCGGAUACCUUCACCGGAUCGCAUGGUCUGGUGAAGAAAUGGAUUCCGCUUCGGGAUGGCCUCGCGGCCUAUCAGCUAGUUGGUGAGGUAACGGCUCACCAAGGCGACGACGGGUAGCUGGUCUGAGAGGAUGUCCAGCCACACUGGGACUGAGACACGGCCCAGACUCCUACGGGAGGCAGCAGUUAGGAAUCUUGCGCAAUGGACGAAAGUCUGACGCAGCGACGCCGCGUGCGGGAUGAAGGCCUUCGGGUUGUAAACCGCUUUCAGCAGGGACGAAAUUGACGGUACCUGCAGAAGAAGCCCCGGCAACUACGUGCCAGCAGCCGC
rnacentral:rRNA from 1 species